GAGGUUAGUGGCGGAAGGGUCAGUAAUACGAUCGAAUGUACCCCGAGGUGGGGGAUAGGCACGGGAAACUGUGCGUAAUACCCCAUAAGCACUCCGGUGGAAAGAUUUAUCGCCUUGGGAGCAGCGAUCGUCCUAUCAGGUAGUUGGCGGGGUAAAAGCCCACCAAGCCUAAGACGGGUAGCGGGUGUGAGAGCACGACCCGCGACAUCGGGACUGAGACACUGCCCGGACUCCUACGGGAGGCUGCAGUAACGAAUAUUCCGCAAUGCGCGAAAGCGUGACGGAGCAAUGCCGCGUGCAGGAUGAAGCGGUUUCGCCGUGUAAACUGCUGUCAGGGGCAGGAAAUACUGAUCCGCCCCAGAGGAAGAGACGGCUAACCCUGUGCCAGCAGCCGCGGUAAGACAGGGGUCUCGAGCGUUAAUCGGAAUCACUGGGCUUAAAGGGUGCGUAGGCGGACCAGUAAGCGUCCUGUGAAAUCCCAUGGCUCAACCAUGGAAUUGCAGGGCGAACUGCUGGUCUUGAGGAAGCUAGAGGCUGGCAGAACGAUUGGUGGAGCGGUGGAAUGCGUAGAUAUCAAUCGGAAUGCCGAAAGUGAAGACAGCCAGCUGGGGCUUUCCUGACGCUGAGGCACGAAAGCGUGGGUAGCAAACCGGAUUAGAUACCCGGGUAGUCCACGCCCUAAACGAUGUACACUAGACUGAAGCGGCUCUGACGUCGUUUUGGUCGUAGAGAAAUUGAUAAGUGUACCGCCUGGGGAGUACGGUCGCAAGGCUAAAACUCAAAGGAAUUGAC
rnacentral:rRNA from 1 species